rnacentral:rRNA from 1 species
CUGGAAUCCGUGAUGCGGAGCGAAAUAAAGUAGCGAAGUCCGUGAGCCAUGCGUCAAGAAAAGCCGCUAUUGUUUGUACCGUACCCGUACCGUAAACCGACACAGGUAUGAGGAGAGAAUCCUAAGGCCGGCGGAAGAAGCAUUGUCAAGGAACUCGGCAAAAUGGCCCCGUAACUUAGGGAUAAGGGGUGCCUGGGAAACCAGGCCGCAGAGAAUAGGCUCAAGCAACUGUUUAGCAAAAACACAGGUCUAUGCGAAACCGAAAGGUGAGGUAUAUGGGCUGACGCCUGCCCGGUGCUGGAAGGUUAAGAGGAGAGGUUAGCGGUAACGCGAAGCUUUGAAUUUAAGCCCCAGUAAACGGCGGCCGUAACUAUAACGGUCCUAAGGUAGCGAAAUUCCUUGUCGGGUAAGUUCCGACCCGCACGAAAGGCGUAAUGAUUUGAGCGCUGUCUCGGCAAUGCAUCCGGUGAAAUUGAAGUACCAGUGAAGAUGCUGGUUACCUGCGCCAGGACGGAAAGACCCCAUGGAGCUUUACUCCAGUCUGGUACUGGGACUCGGUAUUGCAUGUACAGGAUAGGUGGGAGGCUAGGAGAUGGUAACGCCAGUUGCCAUGGAGCCGCUGUUGGGAUACCACCCUUGCAGUAUUGGGUUUCUAACCAGCCGCCGUGACCCGGCGGUGGGACAAUGCCAGACGGGGAGUUUGACUGGGGCGGUCGCCUCCGAAAGGGUAUCGGAGGCGCCCAAAGGUUCCCUCAGAAUGGACGGAAACCAUUCGAAGAGUGCAAAGGCAGAAGGGAGCUUGACUGCGACACCGACGGGUGGAGCAGGUACGAAAGUAGGGCUUAGUGAUCCGGUGGUAUUAAGUGGGAAUGCCAUCGCUCAACGGAUAAAAGCUACCCUGGGAUAACAGGCUUAUCACUCCCAAGAGUUCACAUCGACGGAGUGGUUUGGCACCUCGAUGUCGGCUCAUCGCAUCCUGGGGCUGUAGUAGGUCCCAGGGGUUGGGCUGUUCGCCCAUUAAAGCGGUACGCGAGCUGGGUUCAGAACGUCGUGAGACAGUUCGGUCCCUAUCCGGCGUGGGCGUAGGAUAUCUGAGAGGAGCUGUCCUUAGUACGAGAGGACCGGGAUGGACGGGCCGCUGGUGCAUCGGUUAGACUGCCAAGUCUACGGCCGAGUAGCCAAGCCCGGAAGGGAUAAACGCUGAAGGCAUCUAAGCGUGAAGCCCCCCUUAAGAUGAGAUAUCCCAUUCGUUAAGAAGUAAACCCCCUUGAAGACGACGAGGUAGAUAGGGCAGAGGUGGAAGUGUGGCAACACAUGGAGCUGACUGUUACUAAUCGGGUGAGGGCUUGAC